GACGAACGCUGGCGGCGUGCUUAACACAUGCAAGUCGAACGGAAAGGCCCUGCUUGCAGGGUACUCGAGUGGCGAACGGGUGAGUAACACGUGGGUGAUCUGCCCUGCACUUCGGGAUAAGCUUGGGAAACUGGGUCUAAUACCGGAUAGGAACCAUCUUUAGUGUGGUGGUUGGAAAGUUUUUUCGGUGUAGGAUGAGCUCGCGGCCUAUCAGCUUGUUGGUGGGGUAAUGGCCUACCAAGGCGGCGACGGGUAGCCGGCCUGAGAGGGUGUACGGCCACAUUGGAACUGAGAUACGGCCCAGACUCCUGCGGGAGGCAGCAGUGGGGAAUAUUGCACAAUGGGCGCAAGCCUGAUGCAGCGACGCCGCGUGGGGGAUGAAGGCCUUCGGGUUGUAAACUCCUUUGGCUAGGGACGAAGCUUUGUUGUGACGGUACCUAGAUAAGAAGCACCGGCUAACUACGUG
rnacentral:rRNA from 1 species